ACAUGGUACCACCUACACCUGAACGAAGACCCAGAUGGAUUCGCACAGACUCAAACGACGGAUCAGCUACAACCUCUGGACACAACCCCAGAAACCAAUAUCAUAACACGGCGGCAACGACAUGAUUCGCAAGGCGACAAGUAUCCAUACUACCCAAGGGUUCAGAACGUUCAGAACGCAUCCGGCCCAAUAUCUGUAUGGAUCUGUACAGCAAAAAGGAGACCCACAUAAGCUCUCGCUACAAGUCCCUAAAAUGACUAGCUCGGAACUUUGAGCUUGACUACAGGUACAAUGGCUGAUGGCUGUCAGAGCGUCGACUCACUGAUCUUGGACGUAGCGAGACAUGCGGCCGGGUACGGGAUGUUCCUGAGUCCAGCCGUCGAAUUUGACCUGAAUUUGGCCCAAUAUGACCUGAAUUUGGCCUGUGGUGGCCCAAAAUCUGGCCCUAAUCUGGCCCCUACCUGAAGAACCGGAAUGAAAGACAUUCUCGCCAAGUGGACGCGAUACAAGAGUCGUUUUCGCUCAAUCACGUGACCCACAGCUCCACGUGUCUCCCGGAUCCAUUUGUUCACGUGAUUUUGUCCGGUAUCGCCUACUACUGCUCUUGUUAUCCCAACUCCUGUCCACCCCUGUUGACCCCUGACCUACUCUGACUUUCAGUUAGUCACCACGGUAAGGCUGGUUUUAACGUGCACCACUUACUAGCGGUAGGUACCACUACGGCUUGGUACCGUCCCUGAUAGCGACUCUUCAAGAGCACUCACCGUGCUCUCUCGACACUCAAACCAGGCCCGAGCUGAUCUCCGACGUUGGUUGAAAAUAAUGUCACGACGCUCAAACCCGUUACGCGUGGCAAAUGCAAAAACAAAGCGGGUAUCCCUCUUGCCGAUCGUCGAAACACUACCAGUCUUUUGAAACCUAACCGGACAAUGGACGGUUUGGGCAUCGAUUGAAGGUAAUUAAAGCAACUGCGUUUGGAGCUAUUUGGGCACGUUAUCAUGACGCACUUUUGGAAGUCUCAUAUUGAUGUCAAAAGAAAAAGAAAAGUACCAUUGGAAUGCCCAAACAAAGAGGUGUUGAUUGAUACUACUCCCGUGUCAAUAGUCCCACCACAGCAUCUUUUGUGUCCACGCCCGCAAAAACAAAGGUAAUAUGAGGGACCUUGGCACUUCCAGAUGGAAGACGCAAUGUCCGUCGGUGAUGCAUGGCUGGCUGGUUGGGUCCUGCCGCGGCGAACAUCUGGCAAGCGUGAGUGAGUUGGACAUUAGUUGGAUGUUGGACAUUGGACGUUGGACAUUGGACAUUGGACAUUAGUUGGACGUUAGUUGGGAGUGCCUCGAGUGCCUGUUCAGAAUGCUGUUAGUACCAGUACACUCGACAAUGAACACUAGCAUCCAGACCACUAUCUUCCAUACCUCUCGUCGAAGCUCCACCGGUACUCGUACCGUCAAUAGUAUGGCACCAGCUCCGCGGGAAAUUACCCCUUGUGAAAGAAGACCCGACAGAAAAGGUUGGGUCAUACAUUGCUUGUGAGCGGUAGACGAGAACGUGAUACAACCGAACCACAAACUGCAUUGUGCGACGGGGUCUAAUGUACGACGCUGUCGAAGAUCAAAACUAAUCGUAGACAGCCUACGACCACGAUGCAGCCGUUAUGGGCUAAUAAAGCAGACAAAACUGCGUAAACGGAAGGGUCUGGAGGAGAGACUUGUCUAACCAGACCUACAACUUUGGACAUCACUGUGACAGACACUGCAACAGACUCAAGGCCUGUGUGUGCUAUCUAAGAACUCUCCAGAUCCGUUCUUGAGGAUCACGAGCAGCAACACUCGAUACCGUCACUUGUGGAGGGGUACACUGUUUGUUAUCGAGCUAGCUCCCGCUCAUUGUAUAAUGACACCCCCUGCAAUAUUGCAAGACAUCCAACGGCGACCCACUGCCCAUGUGCCUGGAUGUAGGUCUGAUUUCAAACUAGUCCGCUUCCGUCCUCUUUCACUGCUACGCUGAGAGAGAGAACAGUUAGGUUCGGGGCCCCUUUUUUGUUAUUAUUUUCACAUCUGGUGCAGUCUAGUGCCAGGGACGUCUCCAAACGGACAUUGCCUCGAAAAUAAACUGGCAAAAUGACAAUUCCGAAGAGAAAAUCGUGAUCACCUAACAUCCACAUACGAAUGCACUCACACUCGUUCCAUUCCGACCUCAUCCGGGGCCUCUGGACUGUGCCCUUUUUGUAAUAACAUAAGAGCACACUAAACUAAAAACAGUGUCGACGGAAGCGGUGGUGAUGGACAUAGCCAGGGGUCUGUCUUACUACAGGGUCUAAGGCACGGUGGAAAAAAUCAGCCUGGGGACUCGAAUCAAUGUGUUGCUGUGGUGACGGUAUCAACUUGGGAAACGGGAGGACAGAUACCGUCAAAAGAUGGUCAACAAAGUGAGGCAUUUACACCGUUGCUCAUUCUGGACAGAGCGAAUCUCUCUUCGACCUUGGACUGGCUGCUGAUGAUGCGGAUGAUGCUGAUGAUGCGGAUGAUGCGGAUGAUAUAGAUGCUACUGUAUCUCCGUGGACAGUAUUGUUAUGGCCCUUGAAGCUGGAGGUUCCAUCGAAAGAGACGACAGAAGUGUUUCAUUUUGACCGUUUGAAUGACAAGAAGCAAGUACAAUACAGCAUUGUACAUUGAUAUUGUCUUCCUUCUGCCACCUUCAUUGACGAUACUGUGACCCAAAUCUGGCGACAGCGUGUGAAAAGAGACUGAAACAAGUUCCGCUCUACCGACCCAAGUCCAGCGACUUUAACUCCAGCUUACAAAUCUGUUGCUUCUUGUCUACGCCUCGUAAAAGACCCUUCAUGUACACACAAAGCCCUGCACUUGCACAGUUCACCCUCUCACGUCCGUACCGCAGCAACCCCUUGAUAGCCGCGUGAGACACGAUACACACGUGAAGCAGGCUGGCGUGGAACGGCGAUCCCUCGUUCAUCAAAGACCCUUUUCAAACUUAGCGUCACUACACCGCAGAUCACGUGUCGAUCCCACAUGAAGAUCACGAUCGACACCAGGGUGUACUGGACGUGACGCGUGGAACGUGACAAUAGAGUCUACGACUGCGGCUCAAUAGGCGAGGUAAAUGCUCUUGGAGUGCUCUCGAGGUCUUUCAGUGUGCCCACAAGGCUGCUAGGCGGACCAUUAUCAGUGUCCUGUCGAGAGCUGUAGAAUGACACUUGCCCCGUUGUUUUUGACCCGUUUUUCGUGAAUUCUUCACGUCUGGAGACACAAAUGAGCGCCAUUAUCGUCUCACAAUUGCCGUAUAAACAACUUUAGACAAUGCAAGACAAGUGCCACCUGCAAACGGUCAUCUGGUGACAAGGUCGGAUAUUUUUUUGCCGUUGAAAACACGCGCCUAAGCGAGACAGGACAAGGGAAUGAGCAGCAGUAUAGACUAACGUCGAGCGAGAUUAAACCUGUCGCGUGUGAUUUGCCAAGCCGGUCGUAGCUUUCAAACGGUUCCGACGGUGCCCUACUCGUAGUCCGGCAUGGGGGGCUCUAGAGUCGGGCGGAAGAUACCGCCAAAGGUACUAAUAUCAAAUACUUCCUCAAUUAUCACUCGGUCCAGUCUCGUACGACGGGCAGGUUCUCGUACUGGUACAGUACUCGUACUUGUAUCUACCCCAACUCCAACUGCCGGUGUGCGACCCGCCUGAAAAACACCAAGACUUCAACCAGCUACAU
rnacentral:misc_RNA from 1 species